UCUAUGUUCUCAUCCUUCUGGUGGAAUCUCUCCUGUGUUUUCUCUGGUGUAGACACGGCAAGUGCCUUUUGAUUAAAAAAUACUCCAAUUUGUAUGUUGUUCCAAAGGCUGUUGUCAGCUACAAUCAGGGCCUGUUAGUUACGCUCUCAUUAUACUUUUGUUUCUGAAGGUGAUGAAUGAGGAAAUAACAGUAGGAGGAAGAGAACUCAAGUCUGCACUAUGCUAUAAGGAUGUGACCUUGCUGGGGAGUUCAAGUUGGAUAUGGCUGGAGAGUAUGAUGUGUCAAUGUUUUUAUAAACCAGAAGUCAAUAGGAUGAGUUGAGUUGAGUUUGAGUUUAUUUUUAUUUUUACAGGGACAGUGCACAUUAAUCAACAUUUCAGUAAAAGCGCCGGUUUUAGCCAACCGGCUAAUUUUCAACCGCAGUCCCUGGGCAGGUUAUUAAAAACAAUUACAAUAUAGACAAUAGCAACAUAGAACAAGCAAGACAUAGCAUACAGACAGAGCAACAUAGGACAAGCAAGACGUAGCAUACAGAGAGAGCAGCAUAAAACAAAAAGCAGCAAGACAAAAUUCAUAAAAGCAACAAAGAGUUUCCACACCUCACAAGCUACAGACAACUGACAACAUGGAGAAGUUAUUCAAUUUGAACAAGUUGCAAUUUCCAUGCACCUUGUGAAUGUAUUUUUAUACUAUGCACAGUGUUUAAUGUGUUUGUAUAUGUAAAAUAUAGCAAUUGUAUUAGCAUUACAUUUUUUUCUGCUCUAGUAUGUUGUGUUAUCCAGUGGAAAUAAAGCUUGUACAGUAUAUUGUAAAUAAUUGUUGGAAAUGUUGUUUCUUUUCUCUGGAAGAGAAAUUGUGUUGUUUAGAUUACAUAGCCGUUGUGUUUCAACGGUCUGUCUCAUGAUGGUCAUUGAUCUACCUGAGCUUUAGCUGGGUGUUUUGUGUCUGUUUGUCAUGUAGACGUGGCCACAGUGGGGGUACUGCUCAUUGUAAGGUUCUGCUUUACUUUUUUUAGUCAACCUUGUGUUCUUUUUAUUUGUGUUCUUGAACGUAGCCCUGUUUCUUUGUGUUCUGGAACAUAGCCCUGACUUUCAUUUUCUUCAUUGAUUUCACCUGUGUUCGUUUCUCACCUGGUCUCAUCAGCUCCAUAUUUAGUUCAGUACUUUCUGUUUGUAUGGUUGUGAGGUAUUGUUUGUUUUUGACUGCCUACCUGUGUUUGACCAUUGCCUGUGACCACGAUUCCUGCCUUCUGCGAAUGCUUAAUAAACAUCUCCC
rnacentral:lncRNA from 1 species